rnacentral:rRNA from 1 species
AACGAACGCUGGCGGCAUGCCUAACACAUGCAAGUCGAACGAGACCUUCGGGUCUAGUGGCGCACGGGUGCGUAACGCGUGGGAACCUGCCCUUAGGUUCGGAAUAACUCCCCGAAAGGGGUGCUAAUACCGGAUAAUGUCUUCGGACCAAAGAUUUAUCGCCUUUGGAUGGGCCCGCGUUGGAUUCGCUAGUUGGUAGGGUAAAAGCCUACCAAGGCGACGAUCCAUAGCUGGUCUGAGAGGAUGAUCAGCCACACUGGGACUGAGACACGGCCCAGACUCCUACGGGAAGCAGCCGUGGGGAAUAUUGGACAAUGGGCGGAAGCCUGGUCCAGCAAUGCCGCGUGAGUGAUGAAGGCCUUAGGGUUGUAAAGCUCUUUUACCCGGGAUGAUAAUGACAGUACCGGGAGAAUAAGCUCCGGCUAACUCCGUG